rnacentral:lncRNA from 1 species
CGGUAAAGCCUCGCCGGCAUCGGAGGUAAGCCUCCUCCCCUUCCUCUCUUCUCCCCUUUCCUUCCCAUGCCUGUGUGCACGCUCACCGGCGACCAGAGUCGCCGGAUUUUGUUGCGGAAGAAACCUUUAUUUUUGUCGUUUUUCUUUGAUUUUCGACGUCGGUGGUCACCGUCGACCAUCGAUUUGGCCCUCCUCUUGUCGUUGGGUCGCCCCCUCCUGCC